UACGUAGGGUGCGAGCGUUAAUCGGAAUUACUGGGCGUAAAGCGAGCGCAGACGGUUUAUUAAGCAAGAUGUGAAAUCCCCGAGCUUAACUUGGGAACUGCGUUUUGAACUGGUAAGCUAGAGUAUGUCAGAGGGGGGUAGAAUUCCACGUGUAGCAGUGAAAUGCGUAGAGAUGUGGAGGAAUACCGAUGGCGAAGGCAGCCCCCUGGGAUAAUACUGACGUUCAUGCUCGAAAGCGUGGGUAGCAAAC
rnacentral:rRNA from 2 species